GCCGGGGUAGCAUAGCUUGGCUAAUGCGCUGGACUCAUGAUCCAGAGACCAUGGGUUCAAUUCCCAUUCCCGGCACCA
rnacentral:tRNA from 1 species